UACGUAGGGACCAAGCGUUGUUCGGAUUUACUGGGCGUAAAGGGCGCGUAGGCGGCGUAGUCAGUCACUUGUGAAAUCUCCGAGCUUAACUCGGAACGGUCAAGUGAUACUGCUCUGCUAGAGUGCGGAAGGGGCAAUCGGAAUUCUUGGUGUAGCGGUGAAAUGCGUAGAUAUCAAGAGGAACACCUGAGGUGAAGACGGGUUGCUGGGCCGACACUGACGCUGAGGCGCGAAAGCCAGGGGAGCAAACGGG
rnacentral:rRNA from 1 species